rnacentral:misc_RNA from 1 species
GAUGAAGAACGUAGCGAAAUGCGAUAAGUAGUGUGAAUUGCAGAAUUCCGUGAAUCAUCGAAUCUUUGAACGCACAUUGCGCCCUUUGGCCAUUCCAUUGGGCAUGCCUGUUCGAGCGUCAUUUCAACCCUCAGGCCCCCAGUGCCUGGCGUUGGGGAUCGGCGCGGCGCCCUCCGGGGCGCUGCCGGCCCCGAAAUUCAGUGGCGGUCUCGCUGUAGCCCUCCUCCGCGUAGUAGCACAACCUCGCGGCCUGGAGCUCGGCGGUGGCCAUGCCGUAAAACACCCCACUUCUGAAAGUUGACCUCGGAUCAGGUAGGAAUACCCGCUGAACUUAAGCAUAUCAAUAAGCGGAGGA